rnacentral:rRNA from 1 species
UACGUAGGGUGCGAGCGUUGUCCGGAAUUAUUGGGCGUAAAGGGCUCGUAGGCGGUCUGUCGCGUCGGGAGUGAAAACUCAGGGCUUAACCCUGAGCCUGCUUCCGAUACGGGCAGACUAGAGGUAUGCAGGGGAGAACGGAAUUCCUGGUGUAGCGGUGGAAUGCGCAGAUAUCAGGAGGAACACCGAUGGCGAAGGCAGGUCUCUGGGCCGAUACUGACGCUGAGGAGCGAAAGUGUGGGGAGCGAACAGG